rnacentral:rRNA from 1 species
UUUAUGGGGUGACUGCGUACCUUUUGUAUAAUGGGUCAGCGACUUAUAUUCUGUAGCAAGGUUAACCGAAUAGGGGAGCCGAAGGGAAACCGAGUCUUAACCGGGCGUUAAGUUGCAGGGUAUAGACCCGAAACCCGGUGAUCUAGCCAUGGGCAGGUUGAAGGUUGGGUAACACUAACUGGAGGACCGAACCGACUAAUGUUGAAAAAUUAGCGGAUGACUUGUGGCUGGGGGUGAAAGGCCAAUCAAACCGGGAGAUAGCUGGUUCUCCCCGAAAGCUAUUUAGGUAGCGCCUCGUGAAUUCAUCUCCGGGGGUAGAGCACUGUUUCGGCAAGGGGGUCAUCCCGACUUACCAACCCGAUGCAAACUGCGAAUACCGGAGAAUGUUAUCACGGGAGACACACGGCGGGUGCUAACGUCCGUCGUGAAGAGGGAAACAACCCAGACCGCCAGCUAAGGUCCCAAAGUCAUGGUUAAGUGGGAAACGAUGUGGGAAGGCCCAGACAGCCAGGAUGUUGGCUUAGAAGCAGCCAUCAUUUAAAGAAAGCGUAAUAGCUCACUGGUCGAGUCGGCCUGCGCGGAAGAUGUAACGGGGCUAAACCAUGCACCGAAGCUGCGGCAGCGACACUGUGUGUUGUUGGGUAGGGGAGCGU